rnacentral:lncRNA from 1 species
UCCUUUUCCCCUGCACUCCACUCUUCUCCCCUCCCUCUUUUUCCCAAUCUCUGCCUUGCUUAUUUUCCGCAGAGAACCCCAAGUAGGCGGUAGAGGAGCGUGUCAGUGGUGUGUGUGUGUGUUUGUGUAUGUGUGUGUGUGUGUGCGCGCGCUCACUGUAGCCAGGAUUCCUCCUCCUCCUCCUCCUCCUCCUCCUCCUCCUCCUAAGAAGAGAGCUCGAGUGGAAACUGCUCCUGGACACCAUCUGCCUCUUCCGGGAGCUGGACAGGAGGGGAGGGGGCACGCAACUAAAAACGGGUUUCAAGAAAAUAUUUCAAGUUGGACCCAGCAGGAAGAACUGCUCUAUGUCUGUGAAUUGAGAAAAGAUUGUGUACUUGCAAGAAGGUUAUUGCUGUCUAGAGUUCCAUGACUGUUGUGCCAUGAGAGCAUACCAUCAUAGAGAAGUGCACAGAAGGUUUUUUCCAGAUGUCCUCAUACAACCCUGCAAGCAUGUAUUCCCUUUGGACUUCCCUCUCCUCUCAGAGAAAGUAAGUAGCUUUUCAGUAGAACUCCACUAUGUGUCUACACACUCUGUAUGCAUGCACAUGCGC